UACGUAGGGUGCGAGCGUUGUCCGGAAUUAUUGGGUCGUAAGGGCUCGUAGGCGGCUUGUCGCGUCGAUCUGUGGAAAUCCCGCGGACUCAACCGCGGGUCUGUCAGUCGAUACGGGCAGGCUAAGAGUUCGGUAGGGGAGACGUGGAAUUCCGAUGGUGUAGCGGUGAAAAUGCGACAGAUAUCAGGAGGAACACCGGUGGCGA
rnacentral:rRNA from 1 species